rnacentral:rRNA from 1 species
GACGAACGCUGGCGGCGUGCUUAACACAUGCAAGUCGAACGGUGAAGCUCCAGCUUGCUGGAGUGGAUCAGUGGCGAACGGGUGAGUAACACGUGAGCAACCUGCCCCAGACUCUGGAAUAAGCGCUGGAAACGGCGUCUAAUACUGGAUACGAGAUCAAGCCGCAUGGUUAUGGUCUGGAAAGUUUUUCGGUUUGGGAUGGGCUCGCGGCCUAUCAGCUUGUUGGGUAGGUAAUGGCUCACCAAGGCGACGACGGGUAGCCGGCCUGAGAGGGCGACCGGCCACACUGGGACUGAGACACGGCCCAGACUCCUACGGGAGGCAGCAGUGGGGAAUAUUGCACAAUGGGCGAAAGCCUGAUGCAGCGACGCCGCGUGAGGGAUGACGGCCUUCGGGUUGUAAACCUCUUUCAGCAGGGAAGAAGCGAAAGUGACGGUACCUGCAGAAGAAGCACCGGCUAACUACGUG